rnacentral:rRNA from 1 species
UUUUCCCCCUGUGACCUUAGCAUAUCAAUAAGCGGAGGAAAAGAAACCAACAGGGAUUACCUCAGUAACGGCGAGUGAAGCGGUAAUAGCUCAAAUUUGAAAUCUGGCUUCGGUCCGAGUUGUAAUUUGUAGAAGAUGCUUCGGGUGUGGCUCCGGUCUAAGUUCCUUGGAACAGGACGUCAUAGAGGGUGAGAAUCCCGUAUGUGACUGGGUGCCUCCGCCUAUGUGAAGCUCUUUCGACGAGUCGAGUUGUUUGGGAAUGCAGCUCAAAAUGGGUGGUAUAUUUCAUCUAAAGCUAAAUAUUGGCCAGAGACCGAUAGCGCACAAGUAGAGUGAUCGAAAGAUGAAAAGCACUUUGGAAAGAGAGUUAAACAGUACGUGAAAUUGUUGAAAGGGAAGCGUUUGCAAUCAGACUUGCACGUUGCCGAUCAUCUGGUGUUCUCACCAGUGCACUCGGUUUCGUUCAGGCCAGCAUCGGUUUGGGUGGUUGGAUAAAGGCCUUGGGAAUGUAGCUUCUUUCGGGGAGUGUUAUAGCCCUCGGUGCAAUGCAGCCUACCUGGACCGAGGACCGCGCUUCGGCUAGGAUGCUGGCGUAAUGAUUGUAAACGACCCGUCUUGAAACACGGACCAAGGAGUCUAACAUCUAUGCGAGUAUUUGGGUGUUAAACCCAUAUGCGUAAUUAACGUGAACGGAGGUAAGAGCCCUUAAGGGUGCAUUAUCGACCGGUCCUGAUGUCUUCGGAAGGAUCUGAGUAAGAGCAUAGCUGUUGGGACCCGAAAGAUGGUGAACUAUGCCUGAAUAGGGUGAAGCCAGAGGAAACUCUGGUGGAGGCUCGCAGCGGUUCUGACGUGCAAAUCGAUCGUCAAAUUUGGGUAUAGGGGCGAAAGACUAAUCGAACCAUCUAGUAGCUGGUUCCUGCCGAGUCUUCCUCUCUCGAGGUAAACCGCUCUC